rnacentral:rRNA from 1 species
CCCCACUGCUAUCGGGAUAGGACUAAGACAUGCUAGUCGAGUGACUCAGGCAAAACGAGUCACGGCACACAGCUCAGUAACACGUGGCUAAUCUGCCCUUGGGACAAGGACAACCCCGGGAAACUGGGGCUAACUCUUGAUAGGCGAAGAACACUGGAAUGUGUCUUCACCCAAAAAACUUCACGUUAUCCUCGUGAAGUCGCCCAAGGAUGAGGCCGCGACCGAUCAGGUUGUUGGCGAGGUAAUGGCUCACCAAGCCUUUUACCGGUGCGGGCCGUGGGAGCGGGAGCCCGGAGAUGGGUACUGAGACAAGGACCCAGGCCCUACGGGGCGCAGCAGUCGCGAAAACUUUGCAAUAAGCGAAAGCUUGACAGGGCUAUCCCGAGUGCCAUCCGCUGAGGAAGGCUUUUACCCAGUCUAGAACGCUGGGGGAAUAAGGAGAGGGCAAGUCUGGUGUCAGCCGCCGCGGUAAUACCAGCUCUCCGAGUGGUGUGGAUGUUUAUUGGGCCUAAAGCAUCCGUAGCUGGCUAAGUUAGUCCCUUGUUAAAUCCACCGAAUUAAUCGUUGGAUUGCGGGGGAUACUGCUUGGCUAGGGGACGAGAGAGGCAGACGGUAUUUUCGGGGUAGGGGUGAAAUCCUAUAAUCCCGGGAAGACCACCAGUGGCGAAGGCUGUCUGCUAGAACGCGCCCGACGGUGAGGGAUGAAAGCUGGGGGAGCGAACCGGAUUAGAUACCCGGGUAGUCCCAGCUGUAAACGAUGCAGGCUAGGUGUUUGGACGGCCACGUGCCGUUCUAGUGCCGCAGGGAAGCUGUUAAGCCUGCCGCCUGGGGAGUACGAUCGCAAGAUUGAAACUUAA